CUUGAGUCUUGUAGAGGGGGGUAGAAUUCCAGGUGUAGCGGUGAAAUGCGUAGAGAUCUGGAGGAAUACCGGUGGCGAAGGCGGCCCCCUGGACAAAGACUGACGCUCAGGUGCGAAAGCGUGGGGAGCAAACAGGAUUAGAUACCCUGGUAGUCCACGCCGUAAACGAUGUCUACUUGGAGGUUGUGCCCUUGAGGCGUGGCUUCCGGAGCUAACGCGUUAAGUAGACCGCCUGGGGAGUACGGCCGCAAGGUUAAAACUCAAAUGAAUUGACGGGGGCCCGCACAAGCGGUGGAGCAUGUGGUUUAAUUCGAUGCAACGCGAAGAACCUUAC
rnacentral:rRNA from 1 species